ACCGGCUCCUAAUAAUCUUCCUACACCCCUAGAUGACUCUCUGAAUCCUAACUUUACAAAUCAAAGCUUCAUCCUAUUCCAUGAUUACUCAUUCAACAUGUCGGAACCGUAGCUCAGAUCCCUAAUUUCCCCCCGAAAACCUUGAACCCUAAAUUUUUGGUCAGGUUUGGUGUUCGAUUCUGAUAAGCAUUUUUCCAUGUUCCUUUAGGUUUGCUGGAGUUCUUGUAAGUGGUUGUACUUUAUGUUUAAGUUGUGUUUUGUACAGUUUGUGUUGUAUAAUAGGUUAAUUUGAUUGUAACUUUUGUCCAUUAAUGUUCACAUUUAAUCUCAAAGAAGCACACACAUGUGUGUAAUUAGAGAGUCUGAGAAAGAUACAGGGAGGAAUCAAGAGGCAGAGUGGCCACAACGGCGGCGUAUCGACGGAGCGGUGGUGGAGUCAGCGGAGUUGUGGCAGCGCCCUCUCAUUCAGAUAGGUGAAAUAAGAACCCGAGUAAACCCAGAAGACUCACGUUCCUGAAGUUUUAUGUUCAAGGUUAUGUUAUUGGAAUCAUCAUCGAUAGUGGAAGUAAUAUGGCGGUGGAUCGAAGGAGGGGAUCAAAGUUCCCGGCAAAAACAGUGGCGUGGUUUUUUCACUGGAAUCAAGACCUAUCAAAUAUCAAAGGUAGUGUUCGGAUGGUUUAGGGUCCGAAACGAGAGAAUACAAGGAGUUUAAGGUAAGAAUUAACGUGUUGGUUGCUAAAGCUAUGAAGAAGCCUGAAGUAGGUUGGGUCAUGCAAGACGGGACACCAUGGCCCGGUAAUGACAGUCUAGAUCACCCAG